rnacentral:rRNA from 1 species
AACGUAGGACACAAGCGUUAUCCGGAGUUACUGGGCGUAAAGGGCGUGUAGGCGGAUGUAUAAGUCUAUUCUAAAAGCUCCUGGCUAAACUGGGAGAGGCGAAUGGAGACUGUAUGUCUAGAGUGAGGAAGAGGAAAGUGGAAUUCCGCGUGUAGUGGUGAAAUGCGUAGAGAUGCGGAGGAACACCAGUGGCGAAAGCGACUUUCUGGUCCUUAACUGACGCUGAGGCGCGAAAGCAUGGGGAGCAAACAGG